rnacentral:rRNA from 1 species
UACGUAGGGUGCAAGCGUUAAUCGGAAUUACUGGGCGUAAAGCGUGCGCAGGCGGCUUUGCAAGACAGAUGUGAAAUCCCCGGGCUUAACCUGGGAACUGCAUUUGUGACUGCAUGGCUGGAGUGCGGCAGAGGGGGAUGGAAUUCCGGCGUGUAGCAGUGAAAUGCGUAGAUAUGCGGAGGAACACCGAUGGCGAAGGCAGUCCCCUGGGCCUGCACUGACGCUCAUGCACGAAAGCGUGGGGAGCAAACAGG